UAGUGGAGAGAGGGAAUGAGUUUUAAGCUUCAUUUUCUGUGCAUGUCGAUUUGGGGGAAAGAAGAAAACAUAUUCGGCCAUUGUUGUUUUAGUUUGAAGCUCAAAUUAGUUGAUCAAGUGAAGAAUAGAUCGAGUAUCAGCUGUGGGAAGGAAAAGAUCACUGAGUAGACAUCCGUUGUAUUUUGGUUAGGUACUUUCUUUUGAUCGUCAACUCAGCAUCCAACGACAACAAUCCCGAUCUCAAGUAUGGUGAUGUUUAAUUUUGUAAUGGCAUAUACCUAGGAUGUCUUUGGUUGUUAGUUGUUUUAUGAAUGUGAUGUAAAUUGAGUUAUAAGUAUAUGUUUAUGUUUGAAGCUAAAUGUUAGUAUGCGUUCUGACCAAA